rnacentral:rRNA from 1 species
GUGGGGAAUAUUGGACAAUGGGCGAAAGCCUGAUCCAGCCAUGCCGCGUGUGUGAAGAAGGUCUUCGGAUUGUAAAGCACUUUAAGUUGGGAGGAAGGGCAUUAACCUAAUACGUUAGUGUUUUGACGUUACCAACAGAAUAAGCACCGGCUAACUUCGUGCCAGCAGCCGCGGUAAUACGAAGGGUGCAAGCGUUAAUCGGAAUUACUGGGCGUAAAGCGCGCGUAGGUGGUUCGUUAAGUUGGAUGUGAAAGCCCCGGGCUCAACCUGGGAACUGCAUCCAAAACUGGCGAGCUAGAGUACGGUAGAGGGUAGUGGAAUUUCCUGUGUAGCGGUGAAAUGCGUAGAUAUAGGAAGGAACACCAGUGGCGAAGGCGACCACCUGGACUGAUACUGACACUGAGGUGCGAAAGCGUGGGGAGCAAACAGGAUUAGAUACCCGAGUAGUCC